UACAGAGGGUGCAAGCGUUGUUCGGAAUUACUGGGCGUGAAGCGUGCGUAGUCGGUAUUGAGAGUCAUAGGUGAAAUCCCCAAGCUUAACUUGGGAACUGCCUGUGAGACCUCAGUACUAGAGUGUGAGAGGGGAUAGUGGAAUACCAAGUGUAGCGGUGAAAUGCGUAGAGAUUUGGUAGAACACCGGUGGCGAAGGCGGCUAUCUGGCUCACAACUGACGAUCAGGCACGAAAGCGUGGGGAGCAAACAGG
rnacentral:rRNA from 1 species